AUUCACCCGUGUCUUUUGCGUACUUCUUGUUUCCUGGGUGGGCUCGCCCACCACCAGGACCAACCAUAAACCUUUUGUAAUUGCAAUCAGCGUCAGUAACAAUGUAAUAAUUACAACUUUCAACAACGGAUCUCUUGGUUCUGGCAUCGAUGAAGAACGCAGCGAAAUGCGAUAAGUAGUGUGAAUUGCAGAAUUCAGUGAAUCAUCGAAUCUUUGAACGCACAUUGCGCCCUUUGGUAUUCCAAAGGGCAUGCCUGUUCGAGCGUCAUUUGUACCCUCAAGCUUUGCUUGGUGUUGGGCGUCUUGUCUUCAGCUUGCUGGAGACUCGCCUUAAAGUCAUUGGCAGCCGGCCUACUGGUUUCGGAGCGCAGCACAAGUCGCGCUCUCUUCCAGCCAAGGUCAGCGUCCAUGAAGCCUUUUUUCAACCUUUGACCUCGGAUCAGGUAGGGAU
rnacentral:rRNA from 1 species